rnacentral:lncRNA from 1 species
AGUACUUAUAUUUUUAUCUGCAUUCUUGCCGGUUGAAAGAGAUGAAGGAGAACAAACUUAAUAGAACAAUGCAGUCCGACCAAUCAAUAUCAACCAGCAGUACUAAAUGGAUCAAGAAACUAUAUUGGGUGCGGAUCCGAAUAGCCAUUCACGCAUUCUUUGUUCUGUCAGGCCACGCAGCGGCUGCUCUAUUGGGAAGGAGGAAAUAGCGAAUGGCUAGCAACAGUAAUGCAACUUACAGGCUUCCCAAUUCUCUUGCCUUUCUACUACUGCAUGAAGUUUCACAAAGAAGCAAAAAUCCCAAUGCAGAAUCGGAAAUUGUAUUUGACCAACUAAAGACAAAAACAAUAAAGCCACCAAACCUUACCUUAGCCUAGGCAUAAUCAGAGCAGCAGAUUGCUUUCUCUAUUCAAUUGGGCUCAUCUGUCUUCCAGUUUCAACAUUUUCCAUUGUCUGUGCAUCUCAAUCGACCUCCAAUUCUUUCUUCACGUUCUUCCUCAAUAAGCAGAUGUUUACUCCAUACAUAAUCAACUCACUAGUCCCUCUCGCCAUCUCGACCACCCUCCUCGUUUUCCAAAGCGGCUCUGAAAAUACAACUAAAAAUAUGCAAUUGGAUUCGUAUGCAAUGUACCGUUGGCGCAUCAGCUGGGUAUGGAUGUUAUAAAGAGGGAAACGUUUACAGCUGCCUUGGAUAUGGUAAUAUGUUCGUUUUUCGUCUGUGGUGGGACUUUUUGGUAGCAGAGAGAGAUGGAAGAGUGUCAACAUGGGAAAGUAUCUUCUUAUGUCAUGAAUUUGGUUUGGUCAGCAAUAUGUUGGCAGCUGUUUAAAUAAUGGCUCAACAGGAUUGAUUUUUGAGGCGGCUUCACUUUUCUCCAAUGCCAUAUAUGUGCGCACUGAGCUUGCCUGUUGUUCCAGUCCUAGCAGUAGCAGUGGUCUUUUUCCAUGAGCUUGAAAGUGAUUUCAAUGGUAUUAGCUAUAUGGAUCUCUGUUCCGUUUCUGUACCAGCUGUUUCGUUUCUGUACCAGCAUAAGCCUGAACAAGUUUCCCAAGCUUUAAUGUAUAUAUGGAUGAGAAAAAUUUAAUAAACAAGAAAGG